UCUCCUUACAGUAGUCUUUUGGGUUCACCACUUUGUAUUGUCUUGUUCACUGGGAUGGCUGAUUAUUGUGUUUUGGCUUUUAGGUACUGGUUUCGGAUUUGCCAUGGCAUUAUUAUUUGUAUUGUUGUGCUAUGUUGCUCACUACCUUGAUUGCCUUUAUAAGGCAGAAAGGUGACAUACAGAUCAUUUACUAGAGCAGAAGAGAAUAUCGUACUCAGUUUAACAUCUGGAAGGAAACUUGUGAACAUCACCUUUUGCAGAAGUGGCCCUUCUAUGAGCUGCCUCAGCCCCAUCUGGAGCAGCAUGAGAUACAGUGUGGUUGGCUGACUUGGGAAGCGAGAAUCAGCAAAAACCAGGGAUCCUUUUCUAACAUGGCAAACAUAUUUCCAGAACUAAAGUGAUUGACUUCUUCAUAGAAAUGUCUGUGGGUUGAGUCAUUAUUUCUGCAUCUUUUUGUAUUUAUGCUGCAUUCUCCAUGAUGAAAAAGUCCUAUGCUCUCACUUCAGAUAAGCCAAUAUCAUUAGACAUCUUACUGACACUGUUUUUAGGCCUUUGGGAAUCCAAUCUUUCUUCUUUACACAUGCAUAUACCAAUAUCUAUCUGCUUAUAUGCUUGCCUCAUCUCUCUGGUUACCCUGGAAAACAGUGGCUUGACUGGGAUUGUGAAUAAGGACUACUCUAAUCUAGGUAGGCAUACUGGCCCAUUACAAGCCUGCAGGACUGCCAGAAAAUGGACUAUGACCAAUGUAAGUUCAAUGACUGCCUUUUGGAUUUAGGAUAUCCUAGCAGAAAAGAUAUCUGUCUUUUCCAGGGACAGUUCCUAUUCUUGCAGAAAAGGGAGGAAUCAGUCAGGAAUGACCAAGUCAGAGAUGAUAAUAAUGUUACAGGUUUUGCUUUAUACUUGAUCAAAGUCUGAGAUUUGAACAAAAUAAGGUUGAUGUUCCCUAAUAAUCAUUUGGUGUUAUGGAAUGUUACUUUUUAGAAGAUGGUCUCUAGAUACAGAGAUCUCUCUGUAGAAAACCUUCAUAUGAACUUCUCACCUUUCACAGUGGAAAGUACACAACAGACUUGUUUGACACAGACUUGUUUGCUCAAAACUAUAUGCAGCCUACCAGGACGAAUUGUGAUCUACUAGGUGUCCAUUCCUCUGUUUUUGGAUUAUCAGACAGGCAGCAAAAGUAGGAAACCUCUUGAGUCCCAGGUGGGCCACCAUACAUGACCGGUGGGCUGCAUUCAGUGAAAUGGAUCACUAGUGCAGGCCUAAUUGAUCCCUAUAUGUUAAUGUACUAGGUGUUGAGUUGUGGAUGUAGCUCAGUAAUAAUGAAAAUGAUUUGCAUGCAGGAAGUCCUAGGUUCUAUCUUGGAGUCCUAGCAUCUCCAAGUAGGGCUAGGAAAGAGUUCUGUCUGAAACCCCGGAGAGCUGCUUUCACUCGGUAUACUUAAUACUGAACAAGAUGGACUGAAUGGAGUCAGUAUGAAACAGCUUCCUAUGUUCCACCAAAUGCUUCCUCUUUACACUGUGAAAGAAUGAAAAAUGGUAGCUUCAUUUUCCUUUUGCAGGAUGUUAAACCUGAAACUCUAAUGAGAACACUGUGCAUCUUUUUCCUGCUGGUCUCUUUAUCUUCAUUGCUUCCUGGCCAUUGAUAAUGUGAUAUGGAGAUUUUUAAUGCUCUUUAAACACUGAUCUUGCUUUUAAUUGCCCAUUGAUCCUAAUGUGUAACUCUCAGCCUUGCCUCAAUGAAAUAUAUAUUACUGGAUAUUGGUAAAUCUAUACACCAUAUUUUUAUGAUUUGUUAUCCCAAAGGGAUUUAGGAAAGCCAUUAUACAUUAAGUUGUUUAGUCUGAUUAAUAGCUUUAUGCUAUCACUUUACUCUUUCAUAAAUGAAAAUGGCAGCCUCACAUUUUACUUUAUCUUAUCUAUGUCUACAUUAUUAUUAUGGAACACUUAAUGAUCCUAAGAUGGCAUCCUUCAUUUUGAAUGUAGGAAUCCUAGUCAAUGAGUGGAAAUAAAACAAAUGGAGAAAAGCAGCUUGAAAAAAAUAAAAAUGUUGGUUGAAAAGUUAAAAUUCCUGUCCUAAUGUUCUUUAGAAAGCAUGAAUGCACACGCUCAAUUUCAGUAGAAUGA